rnacentral:rRNA from 1 species
AUUGAACGCUGGCGGCAUGCCUUACACAUGCAAGUCGAACGGCAGCACGGGUGCUUGCACCUGGUGGCGAGUGGCGAACGGGUGAGUAAUACAUCGGAACAUGUCCUGUAGUGGGGGAUAGCCCGGCGAAAGCCGGAUUAAUACCGCAUACGAUCCACGGAUGAAAGCGGGGGACCUUCGGGCCUCGCCCUAUAGGGUUGGCCGAUGGCUGAUUAGCUAGUUGGUGGGGUAAAGGCCUACCAAGGCGACGAUCAGUAGCUGGUCUGAGAGGACGACCAGCCACACUGGGACUGAGACACGGCCCAGACUCCUACGGGAGGCAGCAGUGGGGAAUUUUGGACAAUGGGCGAAAGCCUGAUCCAGCAAUGCCGCGUGUGUGAAGAAGGCCUUCGGGUUGUAAAGCACUUUUGUCCGGAAAGAAAUCCUUGGCUCUAAUACAGUCGGGGGAUGACGGUACCGGAAGAAUAAGCACCGGCUAACUACGUG